UUCAGACCGUAAACGAUGCCAUCUGGUAAUCCAUCGGUGUUAUACUUGACUCGAUGGGCGACCUACGGGAAACCUAAGCCAGGUUCCAGGGGAAGUAUGGUUGCAAAGCUGAAACUUAAAGGAAUUGACGGAAGGGCACCACCAGGAGUGGAGCCUGCGGCUUAAUUUGACUCAACACGGGGAAACUCACCCGGUCCGGACACCGUAAGGAUUGACAGAUUGAGAGCUCUUUCUUGAUUCGGUGGGUGGUGGUGCAUGGCCGUUCUUAGUUGGUGGAGCGAUUUGUCUGGUUAAUUCCGAUAACGAACGAGACUCUAGCCUACUAAAUAGCCGGUACUUCUUUACGAGUAUUGUGCUUCUUAGAGGGACAAGCGGCGUUUAGCUGCACGAGAUUGAGCAAUAACAGGUCUGUGAUGCCCUUAGAUGUCCGGGGCUGCACGCGCGCUACACUGAAGACAUCAGCGUGCAUAUCAACCUACUCCGGAAGGAGCGGGUAACCCGUUGAAACGUUUUCGUGAUUGGGAUAGGGAAUUGCAAUUAUUUCCCUUGAACGAGGAAUUCCCA
rnacentral:rRNA from 1 species